GCCGGCGUGAUGAAAUGGUAGACAUGGCAGACUCAAAAUCUGCUACUCGCAAGGGUGUGUGGGUUCAACUCCCACCGCCGGCA
rnacentral:tRNA from 1 species